UAGCCCCCCCCCCACGUCAUAAAACAGCUUCACCCUCCUUCCGCGUCAUAAAACAGCUUCACCCUCUUCAUAAGAGAGGGUCCUUGGCCAAACUCAUUAGGCUGUGCAAGGGAGGAGAAAGUCCAUGAAAGGAAGGAAGCAAGGAACAAGCGGGCCUGAGUGGGGUAUUGCAUUACAUCAGUUUCCUCUGGGAGGGGCUGAGCUUGGAAUGGAGGGUUCCCGGGUAUGGAUGGCACAAGACCCGUUUGUGAGGUAGAAGCGUCUGGAAAAGACAGAUGGCAGAUGUACCCGAAUGAGGAGGCUGGGUCAAGGCAGUCUUUCCUGGCUUUCUGCUGUGAUCCCUGCCAGGGCGUGUGGCCUCCAGCCUUGCUGCUAGCUCCCCUCUCCUCUCUGCUGCUGCGUUUCCCUUUCAGGGGAGGAGUUGAGAGCAGAUGCCAGUGGGUGGAUGGUCUGCAAAAGCAACAGAGAGUGAGACUUAGGAAGGAAAGCCAAGCCCUGGAAGAGGUGCUGUCAGAAUCACCAUGGCAUCUCCCACACAGACAACCACGUGCCUCCCAGCUCCAAUGGGGGGUUUCCGGUAGAUGUUACUCUCUGCGGCAGCUGGAGGUAAACAAGAGAGAGAGAGAGAGAGAGAGAGAGGAAAAGAAAAGAAAGAGAAAGGAUAUGGAAGUCAGUUUGUGUUUGCUGGGAGCAGUGAUAUGGAGAGGACAUGGAAGAGGAGAUGCAAACCCCCCAGUCACUCAUCUGUUAGGUUCAACAUUUUUCACCUCCAUGGAUCUUUAAAAAAAAAAAAAAAAGCAACCUACUUCCAAGGCAUUUCAUCAAAGAUGGACCAGGGCCUGGUUUAGCUUGAAAGGGGAUUAAACCUGUUUUGGAAACUAAGCACCCAGUUACUAGGUGAUGGGUGCUAUAGAAAACCCUAGUGUAGAGAGAGUGUGUGUGUGCUAGAGGACAUGCAGUGAGCAUGCUCAGUGUUAACAUCAUGCAUUGACAAAAUAGUAGAUGCUUCUCCUUCCUGUUCCCACUGUGGGCUCUUCUCAGACGGGGGGAAGGGGAAGAAGGAGAGGGGACACCUGGAAGUCCAGGAUCUGGGGGUACCUCUAUGGGGUACCCCAAUGGUCCACCCUUAUUGAAGGAUUUACAAGAGGGAGAUUAUUUCUUGGGGCAUAAGCAUCUAAAAGAAUGAUCCAUGAUUCACCUGAAAGCAAACCAACAUCAGCCAAAGCCUCUUUCAGCAAGGGAGAAACAGAUCUAGAUGCGAAGGGGAAGCUACUUGAACUGUACCUAUAGUUAUCCUACCAGCACUAGGGCCUACCAGCUGAGCUGCCGGAGAAGGGAUGGGGCCAUCCAUAGCAGACAUCAGCAAGGGGGCAGAGGAACUCCAGUCAGCACACAUAACAUAGCUGUGGCGGUGGGGUGGCGGGACAGGGAGAGGGUCAAGAUAGGGCCAUUGCAGAAGGAUGGGACCUGUAGAUGUGCAUAGAGCUAGUCCUUAUGGUGGUGCCUGUGACCAUGGAUUGGUAACAUGGGUGAGCAUGAGGAAGAGGCUGAAGCUCCAAUCCAGACUGUUGGUGUCCGCCCUGAGAGAUGCUAAUUCUGGACUAUGUAUGUGCAUACUAAACAUGGCCUGGAUUUUUUGAACACCUCAACCAAAAUCUGGUGCCUUUGGUUUCAGUUCACCAGCUCGGCCCACGCUAGAGAAAAGAACUCACUGCACUAUAAGGAAAGUAUGUUCACAGUCUGCAUCCCACCACCCAAGUCUGGGGUUGGGUUCAGGCCCAUCUCAAAGGUGCACUUGAGAGCCAGAGAAACGUCUUUGGAAGGGGGACAGGUCAAAUGUCCCUUGAACUCAUUAGGGUUGGUUUGUUUUGCAUGGGCUGAGUCAUGAGUUUUUGAACUGACGAAUGGUCCAGUCAGUCUCUGUGAUUGCAGCCGGGAGGGCAGCGAGUGCCUUAUUGCAACCUAUUGUUUAUCCUGAAAAACAGGGGAACAGGGCCUUGUUUCCCUCCCAACCCCGCUGAAGAUCUGUGGAUGGACUGAGGGGGCAGUGG